UACGGAGGGUGCGAGCGUUGUCCGGAAUCACUGGGCGUAAAGGGCGCGUAGGCGGCCUGGUAAGUAGGGGGUGAAAUCCUGCGGCUUAACCGCAGGGCUGCCUUCUAAACUGUCAGGCUCGAGCACAGUAGAGGCAGGUGGAAUUCCCGGUGUAGCGGUGGAAUGCGUAGAGAUCGGGAAGAACAUCAGUGGCGAAGGCGGCUCUCUGGACCAGCACUGACACUGAGGCACGAAAGCGUGGGGAGCAAACAGG
rnacentral:rRNA from 1 species